rnacentral:tRNA from 1 species
UUGGUUAUGGUUAGAGUCCAUGCAGAAGCA